CUUCGGAAACAUCUCAGAGAGGUCCAGGAGCAGGCCACGACCCUGGGGACAGAGCAGAGCACCCUGGAAGGGGAGCUGGCCAAUGUACGCACCCGAGCUGAGCAGGACCAGCAGAGACUGGAGAUGCUGAGUGCCUGUGUCUUGGAGCUGGAGGAAUAUCUGGGUACCACGGAAAGGUUGGUUCAGGAGCUUCAGAGAGAGCGGCUGCAAUUGAAGGAGGAGUGGAGCACAUUGAGCAUCCAACUGGAGGAGCAGGAGAGGAGGUUUCAGGUCGCAGAAGCAGCUCUGUCAAGCAGCCAAGAAGAGGUGGUGUGUCUUUGGCAGAAGACUGAAGCCCAGGUGACCUUACUGGCUAAGCAAGGAGACCAGCUCUAUGGGUUAGAGAUGGAACGGGACGACUCCACAACCAGCUGCAGGAACUGAAGGGCAAUAUCUGGGUGUUCUGCCACGUGCGCCCUGUCCUCGCAGGGGAAUCCACUCCAUCUCCUGGCUUCCUCGUGUUUCUUCCUGGCCCUGCUGGACCCUCUGAUCCCCCGACUCGCCUUAGCCUCUCACUGUCGGCG
rnacentral:lncRNA from 1 species